GUGUUGUACGAAAGGACAGAAGGUUAGCACUCCCCUUGACAAGGAUAGAAAAGGCUCUUGGGCCUUUUUAAAGAAAUGU
rnacentral:snRNA from 1 species